rnacentral:rRNA from 1 species
GACGUAGGGCGCGAGCGUUGUCCGGAUUUAUUGGGCGUAAAGCGUGCGCAGGCGGUGAUGUAAGACAGUUGUGAAAUCCCCGGGCUCAACCUGGGAAUUGCAUCUGUGACUGCAUCGCUAGAGUACGGUAGAGGGGGAUGGAAUUCCGCGUGUAGCAGUGAAAUGCGUAGAUAUGCGGAGGAACACCGAUGGCGAAGGCAAUCCCCUGGACCUGUACUGACGCUCAUGCACGAAAGCGUGGGGAGCAAACAGG